AUUAAACGACACCGUGUCUGUCAUUGCCAACGGAUGAGAUCACAGCAGGCUGUCCUGACUCAUUAGCUACCUAUGACAUAGUUACAGGCAUGGCUUCCCCAAACGUGUUUAUGGAUUGAAGAUCUGAUAGAGACAGGAAGAUGAGCUCAAGGAUGAAAGCGGGGAAGUAGUCAGCUUUAAAACAAAAAUGAGAAAUCCUGGAGACGUGAAGGGUCUCAUGGAGCCUACCAGUAACUUGCUGAUUGUCUUUUUUAUCCUCACUUUAAUGUUUACCAUCGUUAAUCACAAAGUGUCAUGACCAUAGAGUAACAUAACAGGGGAUGUGGAGGCACUGUCUGGGUUUGAAUCCGGUUCCUCCAUUUACUGUUGGCUUGGACGAAUGACUUCACCUCUCUGUGCCUGGUUUUCCUAUCUGUAAAACGGAGGUGGUGGUGUAUACCUCAUAGAGUUGUAACGACCACAAGUGACUGAGUUGCUGUCCAUGAAGAGAGCGGUGCCUGGCAUAUAGCAAGCACCCUAUUUAUGGUUAAAGAAAAUCCUUCUCUAGAUUGACAGACACUCUCCCGUGAGGGUCGCCUCUAGGAUACAUGGCAUCCUGACAUUCUUUCUUUGUGACGCUUACCCUGCUGCCUUUCCUUUCCAUCCUCCCUGUCUCUGCUCCCUCUGCCCUCUUAACAGAACCCUUCUUCACAGCCUCCCAACAGAUUUCCCUCCAAUCUCCGUUUCUGCCAGUUCAUCCUUGGCCCCGGGGGACACAUUAAAUCUUCCUCAAACAACCCUUUGCACGGCAUUCUCACCCACCCGCCUCUGCUCAGACCCUCCCCUCCCUUGCCACUUUGCAAAGCGAUGUUCAAAUUCCUCAGCUUGACUGUCAAGACCUCUGUGGUUGCCUUUAGCCCUUCAUUGCUCCCUACUUGCCUACACAAACUUUUUUUUUAAAUAACCAAAUCAGUCUAUUCAUUGCCUCCAUACUGGUCAUACCUACACCCACCCAGACGACACCAUUUCCUCCACUCCCAAGCCUGGAAUGUUCUUCCCAUGACUUCAAGGUCUGGGAAAGACACUCUGAGAAGUGAGAGAAAGGCACCAAAAUGGAGACUGGGGAAUAUCAAAAGCAGAUUUUGCAUUUCUAACUUGACUUGGCCAUGAUCCCAGGAAUGGGGGAAGGAUUCUCUCCCUCCUCCUUCUCUUAGAAGGCAUAGAGCACGGAGGUUACGAGCAUGGGCUCUGGCUCUGUUAAUUCCUGGUUGGGCAAGUUACUUAUCUGCUCUGUGCCUCGGUUUUACUCAUCUGUAAAAGGGAGGUAGCAACACUUUACCUUUUACCUAGUACCUUCUGGAAUGGAU
rnacentral:lncRNA from 1 species